GAACCUGCGGAGGGAUCAUUACCGAGUUUACAACUCCCAAACCCAAUGUGAACGUUACCAAACUGUUGCCUCGGCGGGGUCACGCCCCGGGUGCGUCGCAGCCCCGGAACCAGGCGCCCGCCGGAGGAACCAACCAAACUCUUUCUGUAGUCCCCUCGCGGACGUAUUUCUUACAGCUCUGAGCAAAAAUUCAAAAUGAAUCAAAACUUUCAACAACGGAUCUCUUGGUUCUGGCAUCGAUGAAGAACGCAGCGAAAUGCGAUAAGUAAUGUGAAUUGCAGAAUUCAGUGAAUCAUCGAAUCUUUGAACGCACAUUGCGCCCGCCAGUAUUCUGGCGGGCAUGCCUGUCCGAGCGUCAUUUCAACCCUCGAACCCCUCCGGGGGAUCGGCGUUGGGGAUCGGGACCCCUCACACGGGUGCCGGCCCCGAAAUACAGUGGCGGUCUCGCCGCAGCCUCUCCUGCGCAGUAGUUUGCACAACUCGCACCGGGAGCGCGGCGCGUCCACGUCCGUAAAACACCCAACUUUCUGAAAUGUUGACCUCGGAUCAGGUAGGAAUACCCGCUGAACUUAAGCAUAUCAAUAAGCGGAGGA
rnacentral:rRNA from 1 species